rnacentral:rRNA from 1 species
AGGGAAGCGAAAUAGUGAUAUAGAGCAAAACCCUAAAAAACGGUCUCAGUUCGGAUUGAAGGCUGAAAUUCGCCUUCAUGAAGCUGGAAUUGCUAGUAAUGGCAGGUCAGCAUACUGCCGUGAAUACGUUCCCGGGCCUUGUACACACCGCCCGUCACACCAUGAGAGUUGGGAAUACCCGAAGCCUGUGAGCUAACUUUUAGAGGCAGCAGUCGAAGGUAGAAUCAAUGAUUGGGGUGAAGUCGUAACAAGGUAAC